ensembl:lncRNA
GAUCCGAACCAGCGAACCCUGGGCUGAGGAAACGGAAUGUGUGCACUUAACCGCUGCACCACCGGCUGACCCCUUCAGCAAGUCCUUUUUAAUAGAAUGUGAGGAUCAUUCCUUAUUAUUGGGUUCUGUAGUUGUCUCCAAAGAGAUGACUGUCAUUUAAUAAUUGGCCAUGUAUGGUGACCUGUACCUUGUAGGAUCUGGAUGUUCAUCAGUCAUGAAGAUUUUCCAUUUUAAUCCCAGCAGCAGAACCUUGUGAUCAGAACCCAAGGGCAAGAUUCCCUUUUGGCAGACUUUUCUACAGCACCUACCAUGUACCAAGGACCAUGUGGCUUCCCACUCCCAUUCCUUUCUUCCUUCAUGCCUACCACGUGCCGAGCACGGUGCCAGACUAUGAGGAUACAACGUUGAGAGCGGCAAACUUGCUAUCUGCCCUCAUGGGUCUUGAAGUCUAGUAGAGAGAAGCACAUCUAUACAGAUGAAUACAAGCUAUAGCUGCAUGAGAGAGAUAUGUUGAGAAAGAGUGGAGGGAAAAAGAAUAAGAUCAGAAAAGGCUCAUAGAGAAGAGGAGUCUUGCUGAGUCAUAAAAGAUGAGGAAAUGCUGAUGGUGAGAGGGAAUUCAUCGCUCUAAUAGCAACAUGGGAGAAAGAGGAGAGAGAAGCUGGACCAGGAGCGGGGAGACUAGGCAAGUGAUGAUAGGACCCUGGACUGAGGGAAUAGCAGCAGAGGAAGAGAGAUGGGAACAGAUACGAUAUGUGGUAAAGAGAGAGAAACACGGUCCUGAUGCCUGGAUGAAGGGUAAAAGAAAGAAAAGAGGCAGGAAGACUCCCAAGUCAGGAAGCCUCAGAAGUCGCCUGGGAGGGUGGAUGUUGGUACUGUCCCUGGACAUGGGGACAGGUUUUGCAGAGAUGAACAAACAGUUUGAGGCACCUGCAAGACCCUGGCUGGAUGUAUAUAGGUCUAGAUGCAGGUGAGAGUCUGGGCCAGAAAUAGAUUCUAGAGGCAUCUAUAUCUAAGAGGUCCACUUACAUGAUAGCUUGAAGACGGCCUAAUGCUUUGGACUCUUAGACUCUUAGACUCUCAUUUUAAUUAUUAUAUUGCUGGAGUCACUCUCUCAUUUCCAUUAUUUCAAAUUGUUCAUCCCAUAAAGGAACAUUGCCAGCAGUGGAUAAUCACAGCGCUGCAAUGGCUAAUGCUGCAUUAUGUCCCCUGGGGAGUUUGAAAAUGUAAAGUCCUGGAUCCCACCCCCAGAGACUGAUCAGUACGGUGAGUAGGAGAGGCAGAGACACUUAAUGUUCACCAAAUAUCCAGGCACCCCCCUCAUCAGCCCCUGGCAGUGGGUGAGAUCAUGUGACAGGUUCUGGCCGAUGGACUGUGAGUAGAUGUGCCUGGAGCCCCUGUGACUCUGCUUCCCCUGCCGCAUCGACAGCAAGAGGCCUCGUCUCCAUGGUGGAGUCACAGGAGAGAAGCAGCCUGUGUCCCUGAGUCCCUGCUGGAAAGGAGAUUCCCUGGAGGACACUCAGAGCCACAGUGGACUUUGCAUGAGUGAGAAAUAAACCUUUCAGUGUUAAAUCACUGAGCUUUUAGGGUGUGUCUGUUACUGAAGGCUAGUCUAGCCAAUCCUAACCAAUACAGCCAGCCUUCUGUGUAUCCCAGAAACCAGCUUUAUAAACAUGCACUGUUGGUGAUUCUGGUGCAGUGGCCCGCUGACCACACUUAGUGACCCAGUGUCCUUUGUUCAGAAAUGAGGAUGGGCAUGUCGCUGAAGGAAGCAUGAUCCGUCAGUGUAACUAAUGUGUUGAUCACAGUUUGUGAGCAUCUGCCGUGUGCCAGGCAUAGUGCUAAAUGCUUCACACCUCACAACAUCACCACCCUUGCAAGGUAGAUAUGAUUGUACCCACGCGGGACGUGGGAGAGUGGGAUUUGAACCCAGUUCUGAUUCCAAACUUGUGCUUUGACUCAAAAACUCUCAAUGUGCAAACUUUACACCCCUGAUGUUUUAAAGCUGGGGUCCUACAAUUGAAAGUAACUUUAGCACCCCCAUCAGAAUGACUUGCAAAGGUUGUGUAAUAUUAAAUAGUAAAAAUUUUCUUAAACUUUCUUUAUGAUUUUCAGCUAAGCAUUCUUCAGGCUUUGAGAACAGCGAUCUAGCAUGCCUUUAAUUUUCCUAACAAGAAGUGAAGAUUUUGAAUUCGAAGGGCUGCAAAGAAAAUUUGCUGUGGAGUUACAGUUCCUUCUCUGGGGACCCCAGAAUCUAAGGAAUUUGCAAAUCAGCAAACCAAGCUGAUAGCACAAAUUAGUUGUAAUAAUAUUUCUUUACAAGUUCCUGUGCAUUGACCAUAUGUCAAAAAGAGUGAAAAACAGUCUCCACAGAGAAAGACAAAUACUGUGUGUUCUCACUUAUAUGUGGAAUCUAAAAAAGCCAAACUCAUAGAAACCAAGAGUAGACGGGCGGUUGCCAGGGGCUGGGGGGUGGGGAAUGGGGAGACGUUGGUCAAAGGGCACAAACUUCCUUUUAUAAGAGAAAUAAGUCCUGGGGAGCUAAUGUCUAGUACGGUGACUAUAGUUUACAAUACUAUAUUGUAUACUUGAAAGUUGCUAGGAGAGUAGAUCUUAAAUGUUCUCACCACACACACACACACAAAUGGUAAUUCUGCGAGGUGAUGGAAGUGUUAACCUAAUUAUGGGAAACAUUUUGCAAUAUAUCCACGUAUCUAAUCAUGGCAUUGUACACC